rnacentral:ncRNA from 1 species
AUAGAGCCGAUGAUAAAGAGAGUAACUCAGAUGAAUUUUCAGCGAGUCGGAGUAUGGUGUGAGUCCGAUAUUGAAGUUUGAAGUGAAGAGAGCUUUUGAGGUUGUUACAGGAAAUAAUAGUAUUGUAGCAGGUUUCCCGCCUUAAGGGUUUGAGAGGAUAGUAUAUCUAUCAAUAGGAGUGGUAACGCGGAAGUUUUUCGUCUCUUGG